UGGGGAAUAUUGCACAAUGGGCGAAAGCCUGAUGCAGCAACGCCGCGUGAGUGAUGAAGGCCUUCGGGUUGUAAAAGCUCUGUCUUUUGGGACGAUAAUGACGGUACCAAAGGAGGAAGCCACGGCUAACUACGUGCCAGCAGCCGCGGUAAUACGUAGGUGGCAAGCGUUGUCCGGAUUUACUGGGCGUAAAGGAUGCGUAGGCGGAUUUUUAAGUGAGAUGUGAAAACCCUAAGCUUAACUUGGGGACUGCAUUUCAUACUGGAAAUCUAGAGUGCGGGAGAGGAGAAUGGAAUUCCUAGUGUAGCGGUGAAAUGCGUAGAGAUUAGGAAGAACACCAGUGGCGAAGGCGAUUCUCUGGACCGUAACUGACGCUGAGGCAUGAAAGCGUGGGUAGCAAACAGGAUUAGAUACCCUGGUAGUCCACGCCGUAAACGAUGAGUACUAGGUGUAGGAGGUAUCGACCCCUUCUGUGCCGCAGUUAACACAAUAAGUACUCCGCCUGGGAAGUACGAUCGCAAGAUUAAAAAGCUUUAAAGGAAUUGACGGGGGUCAUAGCUGUUUCCU
rnacentral:rRNA from 1 species